GGUGACCGCAUUUUGCGGCUAUGCUUUUGCGCUGUUAUGUUUGCGGCCGGAUACCAGUUAACCAGGGGCAUCCCCUGCAAAAUGGAUUGUUCUGUGAGAAAGAGGAAAUCAUAUGCUACAACCUCGUACCUAGAUUUUUGUCAUGCGAUACGUUAGAGUUGGAUUACGUGCAUUUUAAAAAUUCAUCCGAGAAAGUCAGCGUAAUUCUACGUGAUGUAAUUAUCAAAAAUGCCACCUAAAAAGAAGAAGAGGGAUUUUUUUCAAGCAAAGCCAGGCAAAGCUUGUCAGUAUCUGAUUGAAAACUUCAGUUCACUUCCAGAUCGCAAUUUGCAAGUUGGACACAUCCUGUUCUCGUUCAUUACAAAUGAACGGUCUUUCUUCAGUACUGUUCAGGUGAUUAGAGAAAAGAUUGGUGCCUCAUUUACAUUUUCAACUAACCAACUGCAGAGCCUUGUUCGAACAACACUCCAGAAAUAUAAACAUUUGUCACGUGAAGCUGACGUGAAGAAAUUUGAUGAGGUAUGUCGGAAGCAGUACAAAUUCCAUCAGCAGCAUACACCAGUAGUUCAACUCUCCUCCUCUGAGCCUGUGCCAUCGACUGGCAUUCAAUUUGGAGAACCUGGGCCAUCAACUUCUGGCAUUCAAUCUGGAAAAACCUUGCCAUCAACUUCAGAAAUUCAGCCUGAUGGAGAACCUGGGCCAUCUAACCCCAAAGAGCCUCCCAGUCCAAAACAAUCACCACCUGCAAGAAAAUCUCCUCGAACAGUGCUCAUCACACCAAGGAAAAGAAAACUACAGAAGAGACUUGAAUUUGUGUCAAAAUCAAACAAGAAAUUUGAAUCUUCUCUCUGAAUUUAUAACAAAACAAGGUGCAAAAAUGACUUCCAAAAAUCCCUGAUUUUAUGUAUUUUAGCUUGAAAAAAAAUGGUGUUUUUUUUUAACCCAAAACACUAAACUACAUUCUAUCCCACUGGCAUACCACUCAAAUGAAAGAUCUUGUUGACCUCUUUAAUUUGAUACCACAUUUGUUGUUGUGAUAUUUGUACUUCUAGAGAUAUAUAAAAAUUGCAAUUUUUCAGCCGUGUCCACUUUUGGUGGAAUUGCCCCAAUGGUCAUCACACUAAUUGAUAAAUUAAUAAUUUGUGUUUACUGAUUGUUAAUCAAUAUCAAUUAUCAUAAUAUAAUCAUAAUAUAUAGUCAUUGUAAUGUCUUUUGUGAAAUUUUGAUGAGAUUCUGACUUGUAAUAAGAAAGUUACAGUGCACCAAAACAAAUAGAGUCAUGACGUAACCCAAAUAACGGUCACAAAUUUUCUUAUGUUUUUCUUUGUUUUUGGAGGCCGAAAUUUCACCACCAAUUCCCGAGUUUAAAAUAAAUGUAACUCUUAUAAAUUUUCA
rnacentral:lncRNA from 1 species